rnacentral:rRNA from 1 species
ACGCACUGGCCCAACUGAUUGAUGGUGCUUGCACCUGAUUGACGAUGGAUUACCAGUGAGUGGCGGACGGGUGAGUAACACGUAGGUAACCUGCCCCGGAGCGGGGGAUAACAUUUGGAAACAGAUGCUAAUACCGCAUAACAACAAAAGCCACAUGGAUUUUGUUUGAAAGAUGGCUUUGGCUAUCACUCUGGGAUGGACCUGCGGUGCAUUAGCUAGUUGGUAAGGUAACGGCUUACCAAGGCGAUGAUGCAUAGCCGAGUUGAGAGACUGAUCGGCCACAAUGGAACUGAGACACGGUCCAUACUCCUACGGGAGGCAGCAGUAGGGAAUCUUCCACAAUGGGCGCAAGCCUGAUGGAGCAACACCGCGUGAGUGAAGAAGGGUUUCGGCUCGUAAAGCUCUGUUGUUGGAGAAGAACGUGCGUGAGAGUAACUGUUCACGCAGUGACGGUAUCCAACCAGAAAGUCACGGCUAACUACGUGCCAGCAGCCGCGGUAA